rnacentral:lncRNA from 1 species
UUUUUCUUUUUUGGUUUGGCUAGAGAUUAAAUUCACACUAACAUUAAUCAAAAAUCAGAAUAAUAAAAAAGUGACAAACAAUGCAUGGGAAAAGGUUAUUUGGUCAUACAGACAAUAAGUCAAAGUAACACAGGACCUUAGUCUUGUUCGAUCGAUGUUUUGAGGUAUAUAGGCAUUGAUACGAAGUUAAUUUAACAUUUAAAAGUUGAAAAAUGUAGAAUUAAAGCACCACCGCGAGAACAGCCAUUAACAUAAAACUCCCAUUAAAAAAAAAAAGACAAAAACAAAUUAAUCCAUUUAUAUAUUAGUUUGGACCCUAAUAUUGGUCAUGAGACUAAAAACUAUAUAUAUAAUACUAUAUAUGUACUGACUAACUUUCUCGUUAUUUAGAUAGAUGAAUUUUAACUUUUGUUUUUCGAUAAAUAAUCUUACAUGUGAAAUGUCAUUAAAAAA